GUUAAAUGUAGUGGGUUGUUAGCCACGGAGUUGAGAGUUGUAGUGCUACAAUCUCCUACACUUAAAUAUUUGUGUCCUGACUGUGAACUAGGGGUACGGCAGUUGCCAGCUUUAAGGAAUAUGGUGACCCAGCUGAAAACUGAAAUUGAGGCCCUGAAAAGCAAACAAAGUGAAGGUUCAAGCAUGGAGUGCAUUUUGGCAGAGUUAGCAGAGAGGAAAAAACGCAGUGCGAACGUUAUUAUGUUUGGUAUUGGUGAGUGUUCGCGACAGACUGGCGACGUCGCCCGGGACAAGGAGGUACGUGUUGCACAUGAUUUAUCGCAGGUCCAAGCAGCUCUCUCAGGCGUGCCGGAGGCAGAGGUGCCGGUGGCCGUAAUCCGUCUAGGCAAACCCAGAGCUGACGCCGUGGCUCGCCCACUCAAAGUCGUUUUCACCAAUAAAAGAGCUGCCCUUAAGGUUUUGAAAAAUAACAGUAAGCUUCCGAGUAACGUGUCCGCCAAAAAUGAUCAAACACCAUAUCAGCGGGACUAUUUGAAAAAGUUGCGUGAAGAAUUACAACGCAGAAUCGAUAGUGGUGAAACCGACUUGACUUUGAAAUAUGUGAAUAAUUCCCCAAAGAUUGUUAGUUCAAAAAAGUUAUAACUAACGAUACUGGGAUAUUAGAAUUUACAUUCUUAUACACGAACUUGGCAUCCCUAACGGCUAAACGAGAUUUGCUUAUUAUAGAAGUUAACAGAUUGAAACCAACUUGUAUCAUCAUUACUGAAACACACUUAAAACCAUCGAUAGAAUUAAAGGAACGGGCUGGGGAGGAGUCGCUAUAUACAUAUCUCAUACGCUUUACGGCAGACCUAUACAAGUAAUCCCGCACCCGAUUUAUAACUCUCACCCCCAGGUCGAGGCAUUGUGGCUAAACUUGAAAUAUGAAAGUUAUACAAUUACAAUUGCAGGAAUAUAUCGCCCAACACAUUACACGUUUGAAGAUACUGAUAGAAUAUUAUUUGAAACAAUUAAUAAAGCUGCUAUGGAUCCCAACCCCCUGAUAAUAAUGGGUGAUUUUAACUUGCCUGACCUCAAGUGGCCGUUGGAUGACGUUGAUACCGAUAAGUACAACACACUUCAUGCUAGCUUUCUCGAUAUGUUUGUAAACAGUAACCUAAACCAACUAGUGACUGAAAUAACAAGGAAGCGGAAUAGUGAGGAAUCUUUACUUGACCUAAUUAUGUGCAACGAAGAAAACCUUUGUACUAAAGUACAAUACUACCCUAACAUAGGAAAAAGCGACCACCUAGUACUCCUAGCAACAUUACAGACUGAGCUAAAAUCAAACAGAAGUACCUGUACGCAAGAAGUAAGAAGAAACUUUUUUAAAGCUGAUUUUCAGGAAAUUAUGAACACCAUUUCAACAAACACAACCGAUUUCACAGACACCGUUAACAUUGAUGAAGCUUGGAAACUAUUUAAGACGAAAUCACACACUGCUAUCGAGACCCAUGUACCAUUGACAACUAAAAAUAAAAAGUUAAAUGUAAAUAAACCAUGGAUAACAAAACAAGUACUAGAAAAGGUAGAAAAUAAAUUAAAACUUUGGAAAGAGUAUAAAUCAAAUGGCUGUGAAAAAUCAUAUAAAGCAUAUAGAACUGAAAAUAAUAAACUGGUGACACUAGUCAGAAAAUUAAGAGCUGAAUUUGAAAGAGGAAUAGUGAACUGCGGUCCAAAAUCGUUUUAUAGUUACAUUCGUAAGCAGCUAUCCUCUGAGGUAUCCGUACCUCCUUCACUGAGAGAUGAGAAGGGGGAUAUCACGAACGAUCAGAAAAAUGUCGCCGAACUUUUUGCUCAUCAAUUUGAGAAAUCCUUUGUUUGUGAACCAGCACACACGAACAUUCCGGACGUUCAGAUGCCUCGUGUAGAAAAUUCAAUCGAAUCAGUAUGCUUCACUCCUGAGAACGUGGCAAAAACGUUAGCAGCAUUUAGCGACUCCACCUCAAUGGGCCCGGAUACUCUUCCCUCUGUUUUUCUUAAAAAGUGCAGUAGCGUGCUUGUCCAUGACCUGGCUUUUAUAAUGAAUUUAUCCCUCAAGAAUGGAACCCUACCUCGAGACUGGAAGGAAGCACAUGUCACUCCCAUAUAUAAAAAAGGUGAUAAGUUUGUUGCUGCUAACUAUCGUCCAAUCAGCCUCACAAGUAUAGUCUGCAAAACUAUGGAAAAAAUUAUAGUCACUGAAUUGCGAAAUUUCAUAAGUAGGGAGAAUGUAAUUAUCAAUGAGCAGCAUGGCUUCAUACCGAAAAGAUCCACAGUGACGAAUCUUCUUGUGUGUCUUGAGAAGUGGACACGUGACUGGGACAAUCGUCAGCCUACGGACGUCAUAUACCUAGACUACGAAAAGGCAUUUGAUCGUGUACCUAUUCGAAGGCUUAUUGCUAAAUUGGAGCACUUUGGAAUUCGUGGUCAGCUCCUUGAAUGGAUAUCGGACUUUCUAACCCACAGGAUAUUUAAAGUAAGAGUAGGGAAAACUCUAUCGAAUGCACACAACGUCUAUAGUGGUGUUCCUCAGGGAUCAGUCCUUGGACCAAUCCUGUUUGGCAUAUUUAUAACAGAUCUGAAGAGUGUAGUACAUUCGGAACUGUCAAUAUUUGCUGAUGAUACCAAAGUUAUGGGUAAUCCAUUAGUAACUCAUAAUAUUAUCCAAAGUGAUUUAGAUCGCAUAAUUCAGUGGACUAAAGACUGGCUCAUAUCACUAAAUGCUGACAAGUGCACAGUUCUACACAUAGGGAAAACAAACCCUAAACUAAAUUACCACAUUGACUCUGUUCCCCUACAAGCUGUAGCUAGUCAAAGAGACCUGGGCAUCACUGUUUCACAUAACUUGAAAUGGGACACACAUAUCACCAAAAUCACCAAGAGAGCAAAUUCUAUGCUGUAUAUGAUCCGGAAAGCAUUCCAUGUUAUUACUAAGGAACUAUUUAUUAGAAUAUACAAGUCAUAUCUUCGUC